CGCUGGCACUCCUCGUCGGCUGCUCGUCCGCCACCUACGGGAACGGCGGAGCUAGCGGCGGAGGCGGGUUCGCAGGUGGUGGAUGCUCCGGCGGUGAUUGCGGAGGCUCAGGAGGCUAUGACGGAGGAUCGGUCGGAGGAGGUGGAUGCGCCGGAGGUGGGUGUGGAGGAUCGUCUGGUGGAUACUCUGGUGGAUCAGCAGGAGGAAUAGGUGGUGGAUUCGGUGGCGGCGAUUCUUCUAGUGGAAUUGGAGGUGGAUUCGGUGGAGGAGGAUCCUCUGGUGGAUAUUCCGGUGGAUCAUCGGGUGGAAUUGGAGGUGGAUUCGGUGGAGGAGGAUCUUCUGGUGGAGUUGGAGGUGGAUUCGGUGGAGGAGGAUCCUCUGGUGGAUAUUCUGGUGGAUCAUCUGGUGGAAUUGGAGGUGGAUUUGGAGGAGGUGGAGGCUCCUCCGGUGGAAUCGGCGGUGGGCAUGGAGGGGGGACCGGCGGUUCCCUUGGCGGGUACCUUCCACCUUCAAGGAGGUAAUCCUCCUGAAAGCCUUCUCGUCCACCUGAAGAGAAGUACUGGUCAUGUGGUAAAGUCGCUAACUUCUGUAAGUUUAUUUGAUAUGUUUCGUGUCAUUCAUCAGAGAGAGCAAUGCUCAAAUAUUUGUUUGAUAAAGUAAGUACGACUUGUCCCAUUUAUCAAAAGGUACUGUAUAAAAUAAAUCCGUUGUGUAUUCCCUGAUAUGGCAAAAAUAAAUAAAUAUAUUAUAUAAAAGCGA